rnacentral:rRNA from 1 species
GAUGAACGCUAGCUACAGGCUUAACGCAUGCAAGUCGAGGGGUAACGAGAGGAAAGCUUGCUUUCCUUGUCGACGACCGGCGCACGGGUGAGUAACGCGUAUCCAACCUGCCCCCAACUAGGGAAUAACCUUGCGAAAGUAAGACUAAUACCCUAUAAUUUCCUCAGAUGUCAUCUGACGAGGAAUAAAGAUUUAUCGGUUGUGGAUGGGGAUGCGUCUGAUUAGCUUGUUGGCGGGGUAACGGCCCACCAAGGCAACGAUCAGUAGGGGUUCUGAGAGGAAGGUCCCCCACAUUGGAACUGAGACACGGUCCAAACUCCUACGGGAGGCAGGAGUGAGGAAUAUUGGUCAAUGGGCGGAAGCCUGAACCAGCCAAGUAGCGUGCAGGAUGACGGCCCUAUGGGUUGUAAACUGCUUUUAUACAGGAAUAAAGUUAGCCACGUGUGGUUAUUUGUAGGUACUGUAUGAAUAAGGACCGGCUAAUUCCGUGCCAGCCGCCGCAGUAA